UCACCUAUUUCAAACAAAAGUGGACAAAUCAAUUGAUCUCCCAAAAUUUAUCACAUUCAUACUAGAGAACUUAGUUUUCACAAUUUUUUUCCUCAUGCAAAUGAAUUCACAAUGUGUGAACUCAUUCCAUGCUCACUUUUUUUUUUCACAAAGAAGUCCCUCGACAAAUUUUUUUUUUAUUCAUUUUUUUUUCAAACAUGGUGUUAUGCAUUUUGCAUUCUCUUUAUUUAUUUAUUUUUCAUUUCUUUCACCAUUUCCUUUCUUUUCAUGAGGGACAUUCUCUUCAUUUUUUUUCACAAACUUUUUCAAAAUAUUUUUCUUUUAGUUCUCUAGUACCCCUGG
rnacentral:lncRNA from 1 species